rnacentral:rRNA from 1 species
CCAUGCAGUCGAGCGGUAGCACAGAGAGCUUGCUCUCGGGUGACGAGCGGCGGACGGGUGAGUAAUGUCUGGGAAACUGCCUGAUGGAGGGGGAUAACUACUGGAAACGGUAGCUAAUACCGCAUAACGUCGCAAGACCAAAGAGGGGGACCUUCGGGCCUCUUGCCAUCAGAUGUGCCCAGAUGGGAUUAGCUAGUAGGUGGGGUAACGGCUCACCUAGGCGACGAUCCCUAGCUGGUCUGAGAGGAUGACCAGCCACACUGGAACUGAGACACGGUCCAGACUCCUACGGGAGGCAGCAGUGGGGAAUAUUGCACAAUGGGCGCAAGCCUGAUGCAGCCAUGCCGCGUGUAUGAAGAAGGCCUUCGGGUUGUAAAGUACUUUCAGCGGGGAGGAAGGCGAUAAGGUUAAUAACCUUGUCGAUUGACGUUACCCGCAGAAGAAGCACCGGCUAACUCCGUGCCAGCAGCCGCGGUAAUACGGAGGGUGCAAGCGUUAAUCGGAAUUACUGGGCGUAAAGCGCACGCAGGCGGUCUGUCAAGUCGGAUGUGAAAUCCCCGGGCUCAACCUGGGAACUGCAUUCGAAACUGGCAGGCUAGAGUCUUGUAGAGGGGGGUAGAAUUCCAGGUGUAGCGGUGAAAUGCGUAGAGAUCUGGAGGAAUACCGGUGGCGAAGGCGGCCCCCUGGACAAAGACUGACGCUCAGGUGCGAAAGCGUGGGGAGCAAACAGGAUUAGAUACCCUGGUAGUCCACGCCGUAAACGAUGUCGACUUGGAGGUUGUGCCCUUGAGGCGUGGCUUCCGGAGCUAACGCGUUAAGUCGACCGCCUGGGGAGUACGGCCGCAAGGUUAAAACUCAAAUGAAUUGACGGGGGCCCGCACAAGCGGUGGAGCAUGUGGUUUAAUUCGAUGCAACGCGAAGAACCUUACCUACUCUUGACAUCCAGAGAACUUACCAGAGAUGCUUUGGUGCCUUCGGGAACUCUGAGACAGGUGCUGCAUGGCUGUCGUCAGCUCGUGUUGUGAAAUGUUGGGUUAAGUCCCGCAACGAGCGCAACCCUUAUCCUUUGUUGCCAGCGG